UACGUAGGGGGCAAGCGUUGUCAGGAUUUAUUGGGCGUAAAGAGCGUGUAGGCGGCCCGGUAAGUCCGCUGUGAAAGUCGGGGGCUCAACCCUCGAAUGCCGGUGGAUACUGUCGGGCUAGAGUGCGGAAGAGGCGAGUGGAAUUCCUGGUGUAGCGGUGAAAUGCGCAGAUAUCAGGAGGAACACCAAUUGCGAAGGCAGCUCGCUGGGACGUAACUGACGCUGAGACGCGAAAGCGUGGGGAGCAAACAGG
rnacentral:rRNA from 1 species